CAGAGUUAAUCCUGGCUCAGGAUGAACGCUAGCGGCAGGCCUAACACAUGCAAGUCGAGGGGCAUCGGGAUUGAAGCUUGCUUCAAUUGCCGGCGACCGGCGCACGGGUGCGUAACGCGUAUGUAACCUACCUAUAACAGGGGCAUAACACUGAGAAAUUGGUACUAAUUCCCCAUAAUAUUCGGAGAGGCAUCUCUCCGGGUUGAAAACUCCGGUGGUUAUAGAUGGACAUGCGUUGUAUUAGCUAGUUGG
rnacentral:rRNA from 1 species